ACAGCUGAUGCAACCAAUCAAAUUGGUAACUAUUUUUGAUUGUUUGUAUCAGCUGUGU
rnacentral:pre_miRNA from 1 species